rnacentral:misc_RNA from 1 species
GAUGAAGAACGCAGCGAAAUGCGAUAAGUAGUGUGAAUUGCAGAAUUCAGUGAAUCAUCGAAUCUUUGAACGCACAUUGCGCCCUUUGGUAUUCCUUAGGGCAUGCCUGUUCGAGCGUCAUUUAAACCUUCAAGCUAAGCUUGGUGUUGGGUGACUGUCCGCUUCACGGCGGACUCGCCUCAAAAUUAUUGGCGGCCGGUACAUUGGCUUCGAGCGCAGCAGAAACGCGAACUCGGGCCCGUCGUAUUGGCUCCCAGAAGCUAUCUUCACAAUUUUGACCUCGGAUCAGGUAGGGAUACCCGCUGAACUUAAGCAUAUCAAUAAGCGGAGGA